ACAGACUGAAAAUUACCUCUGGCAUGUCCAGUAGCCUUGGGUAAGAUACCUGUGCCUAUAUGGAAGAGGAGCAUUAAGCUCAUUACCCAUAAUCCUUGUGUGUGCGUAAUGAGACCCGUGUUCCUACAUUU